rnacentral:rRNA from 1 species
UACGGGGGGGGCAAGCGUUGUUCGGAAUUACUGGGCGUAAAGGGCUCGUAGGCGGCCAACUAAGUCAGACGUGAAAUCCCUCGGCUUAACCGGGGAACUGCGUCCGAUACUGGAUGGCUUGAGGUUGGGAGAGGGAUGCGGAAUUCCAGGUGUAGCGGUGAAAUGCGUAGAUAUCAGGAAGAACACCCGUGGCGAAAGCGGCUCUCUGGAACGGUACUGACGCUGAGACGCGAAAGCGUGGGGAGCGAACAGG